rnacentral:rRNA from 1 species
UACAGAGGUGGCAAGCGUUGUUCGGAAUUACUGGGCGUAAAGGGCGCGUAGGCGGUCUGGUCAGUCCCUUGUGAAAUCCCCCGGCUCAACUGGGGAACUGCACGGGAAACAGCCGGGCUUGAGUUCGGGAGAGGGAAGCGGAAUUCCGGGUGUAGCGGUGGAAUGCGUAGAGAUCGGGAAGAACACCCGUGGCGAAGGCGACGUGCUGGGCUGCAACUGACGCUGAGAUGCGAAAGUGUGGGGAGCAAACGGG